GGGGAUUUAGCUCAGCGGUAGAGCGCUUGCCUAAGAAGCGCAAGGCCCUGGGUUCGGUCCCCAGCUCCCA
rfam:Rattus norvegicus chromosome 18, whole genome shotgun sequence.